GCCGCUCAAGAAUGAGCGAUCCCCACCGUCCGAUGGGUGGGCGUUGCCACCCGGCUUUGCUCCAGAAACUGUCGCUCCCGCUCAGUUCUGGUCUCCGUGCGUGCCUUGCAGAAACUUUGAAUUCGCCCAGCCAACCACCGAGAAGCACGUCAUGCUUCACGGUCCGUGUGAAACCUGUAAAGCGUACUGCUAGGCCAGACAAACGUGAAUGAAUCCUAAGCUUUAAGGCGUAGCAAACGCAAACUUGUACUUCGCCGCGGACGCAAUCCGGGUCCUUCGCCCACCUUGUGCACCACAGUGGUUAAUCUCAUUAUCAUGGUCGCUCACAGUAAAUUAAAUCACUUGGAAUAAACCCAACGAACGAAGUGAUGGGGCCCAGAACGAAACAACAACUUUUUAAUCACGGUGUGUGUGAGAGAGAGAGAGAGAGAGAGACACUCCAUUGGUUAAGGAGCAUGAAGAAGACAUGCUGUCAGUCUACCUGUGUCCUUUUGCUUCCCUUAACCCCCGACCCUUUCCUCUGUUCUCCGUCCUUCCUCUCGGUCUCUCCUGUUCUCCCACCCCACCACCCUUCUUUCCUCGCGUGCUCUGUAAAAAAAUAAAGGGCCAAAAACAGGCCUGUCGCCGGACCCACUCCAGUGGCAGCAUAGCAGUAUCAUCUACCUCUCCACGGCUGGCUGCGACUACUAGAGAUCUCUCUGUUCUCAGAAUCAACGAAAAGAAAAAAAGACAACAGGAAGUAGAAAAGCAAAAAGGGAGAGAGAGGAGUUUGGCCGUUGUUGCAGUUACCAGGUUGCGUUUUUUUCCUCCCAUUUAGAAAGAAUAAGAAUGCCUCUUCUCCCCCAACUUGUCUGCAUGUAAUCUAUCGGUCCGAUUCUUUAAUGUAAGCUUGGAAAGAGAAAAAAGGUGGAUGGAUUAUCGCGGAAAAAAAAGGACGGAGUGUUUCGAUUAUACGAGAGCCUUAAAUUGAAGCAACCCGCCCCCAACCUGUGGAGUGGAGGAGGUUUGAUUUCCGCAUUGCAACGCGACGCCACGUCGUUUGAUGGCGGCGGCGGAGGAGAUGCUGGUGACGAUGCACCAGGGGAAGAAGGAAGGGGAGGAAGAACCGAGUAUCGACACGGACAAGCUGAGCUACGAGAUAUUCUCCAUUCUCGAGAGCAAGUUCCUCUUCGGUUACGACGACCACAAGCUCUGGGUCCCCAAGCCCUCCCCCAACGCCGCGGCCACUGCGAUCAAGAACCAGAGGGGCAAGGUCUGCGUCCUCUGCAUCGACGGCGGUGGGGGCGGCGGCAUGCGGGGCAUCCUCCCGGGGAAGGCGCUAUCCUAUCUGGAACAAACGCUCCAGGCCAAGUCCGGCAACGCCGAGGCCCGAAUCUCCGACUACUUGGAUGUCAUCGCCGGCACCGGCGUCGGCGGGGUCUUCGCCGCGAUGCUCGUCGCCACCCGCGACGGAGCCCGCCCGCACUUCCGCGCCGACGACACGUGGCGGUUCCUCGCCGACCAGGGGAAGCGCUUCUUCCGCUCGCCCUCCUCCUCUGGCGGGUUCCUCCGGCGCGUGUUUGAAGGAGGGGGCGGAGGAUGGUCCUCGGCGAAGGCGACGGCGGCGAUGGAGAUGGCGAUCAAGGAGGCGUUCGGGGAGGGGCUGACGCUGCGGGACACGGUCAAGCCGGUGCUGAUCCCGUGCUACGACCUGCGGAGCUCGGCCCCGCUGGUCUUCUCCCGCGCCGAUGCCCUAGAGAGCGAGAGCUACGACUUCCGGCUGUGGGAGGUAUGCCGGGCGACGUGGGCGGAGCCGGGGCGGUUCGCGCCGGCGGAGAUGCGGUCGGUGGACCGGCGGACGGCGUGCGUGGGCAUGGAUGGCGGGCUGGUGAUGAGCAACCCGGCGGCGGCGGCCAUCACCCACGUCCUCCACAACAAGGAGGAGUUCCCCUUCGUGCGCGGGGUGGAGGACCUGCUGGUGCUCUCCCUCGGGUGCGGGACGGGCGGCGCCGCCGUCGUGCCGGAGGAGGAGCAUCCGCGACUCCGGCGGUGGAGCCCCCGGGAGUGGGCUCGUCCCAUCGCCCGCAUCUCCUCCGACGGCGCCGCCGACCUUGUCGACCACGCCGUCGCCCUCUCCUUCGGGCAGUUGCGGAGCUCCAACUACGUCCGUAUCCAGGGUGAUUGCAGGAGCAUGGGGAAGGGUGGAGUGGAUGCGGACUGGGACCCAAGCCCAGGGAACGUGAAGGCUUUGUUGGGGGCGGCGGAGGAGAUGCUGAAGCAGAAGAACGUGGAGUCGGUGCUGUUUGGGGGAAAGAGGAUAGGGGAGCACACCAAUAUGGAGAAGCUGGAUUGGUUCGCAGGGGAGCUCAUGCUGGAGCACCAGAGGAGGACCUCUCGGAUAGCUCCCACAGUUGCCUUCAAGCACCCGUCUCCCAAGCCUACCUAGACAAGUGAGCUGUUGAGAUCGAGGGGGAAAAGGUGAAAUAUUUCAGUGAUGAUGUCUAGGAGAAAGCAAAGCCAUUUUGGGCUCCUCCAUACGAGCUCUUCCAAACGCGUUAGUGAAACCUGCCUGCUGGAUCGAUUGUAUUCUUAGCAAUCUUUGUACUCCUUAUACUCUUCUUUCAAGCAAAGGGACAUGCAAAUCGAAAGAAAUUUGUCCGGAAAAGAUGUCGUUCCUUCGCACUGAAAGCAACUCGAGGGCUUCUUUGGAUUUCAUGCUGUUUGUUUUUUUUUUUUUUGCGACAUAUGGUGAAACAUUAUUCUUCAACCUGUUAGUUUUUCUAAACCAAACAAAUAUUUGAUGUUGCUGGAAA